rnacentral:rRNA from 1 species
CACGUAGGGGGCGAGCGUUGUCCGGAUUUAUUGGGCGUAAAGAGCUCGUAGGCGGCUCAGUAAGUCGGGUGUGAAAGCUCUGGGCUCAACUCAGAGACGCCAUCCGAUACUGCUGUGGCUAGAGUCCGGUAGGGGAGCGCGGAAUUCCUGGUGUAGCGGUGAAAUGCGCAGAUAUCAGGAGGAACACCAGCGGCGAAGGCGGCGCUCUGGGCCGGAACUGACGCUGAGGAGCGAAAGCGUGGGGAGCGAACAGG